AUUGAACGCUGGCGGCAUGCCUUACACAUGCAAGUCGAACGGUAACAGGUCUUCGGAUGCUGACGAGUGGCGAACGGGUGAGUAAUACAUCGGAACGUGCCUAGUAGUGGGGGAUAACUACUCGAAAGAGUGGCUAAUACCGCAUGAGAUCUACGGAUGAAAGCAGGGGAUCGCAAGACCUUGUGCUACUAGAGCGGCCGAUGGCAGAGUAGGUAGUUGGUGGGAUAAAAGCUUACCAAGCCGACGAUCUGUAGCUGGUCUGAGAGGACGAUCAGCCACACUGGGACUGAGACACGGCCCAGACUCCUACGGGAGGCAGCAGUGGGGAAUUUUGGACAAUGGGCGAAAGCCUGAUUCAGCAAUGCCGCGUGCAGGAUGAAGGCCUUCGGGUUGUAAACUGCUUUUGUACGGAACGAAAAGCCCCAGGUUAAUACCCUGGGGUCAUGACGGUACCGUAAGAAUAAGCACCGGCUAACUACGUGCCAGCCGCCGCAGUAA
rnacentral:rRNA from 1 species